UUUGAUCCUGGCUCAGAUUGAACGCUGGCGGCAUGCCUUACACAUGCAAGUCGAACGGCAGCACGGGAGCAAUCCUGGUGGCGAGUGGCGAACGGGUGAGUAAUACAUCGGAACGUGCCCAAUCGUGGGGGAUAACGCAGCGAAAGCUGUGCUAAUACCGCAUAAGAUCUACGGAUGAAAGCAGGGGAUCGCAAGACCUUGCGCGAAUGGAGCGGCCGAUGGCAGAUUAGGUAGUUGGUGAGGUAAAGGCUCACCAAGCCUUCGAUCUGUAGCUGGUCUGAGAGGACGACCAGCCACACUGGGACUGAGACACGGCCCAGACUCCUACGGGAGGCAGCAGUGGGGAAUUUUGGACAAUGGGCGCAAGCCUGAUCCAGCCAUGCCGCGUGCAGGAUGAAGGCCUUCGGGUUGUAAACUGCUUUUGUACGGAACGAAACGGCCUUUUCUAAUAAAGAGGGCUAAUGACGGUACCGUAAGAAUAA
rnacentral:rRNA from 1 species